rnacentral:rRNA from 1 species
UACGAAGGGGGCUAGCGUUGUUCGGAUUUACUGGGCGUAAAGCGCACGUAGGCGGAUUGUUAAGUCAGUGGUGAAAUCCUGGAGCUCAACUCCAGAACUGCCUUUGAUACUGGCAAUCUUGAGUCCGGAAGAGGUGAGUGGAACUCCUAGUGUAGAGGUGGAAUUCGUAGAUAUUAGGAAGAACACCAGUGGCGAAGGCGGCUCACUGGUCCGGUACUGACGCUGAGGUGCGAAAGCGUGGGGAGCAAACAGG